UAACACACUGUCUGAAAGGCAAAACGAACAAGGCAGCCUUUCAAGAACACUGGUACAAGAGCUUUCCGCCCUCUUGGAGUUGAUACAUUCAGAUGUAUGCGGACCUAUGGAGGAAAAGUCUCUCGGAGGUGCCAGAUAUUAUGUCACAUUUCUCGACGAUUAUUCUAGAAAGGUAUUUGUUUACUUUUUACACUCUAAAUCUCAAGUACUCGAAAAGUUUAAAGAAUUUAAGAAUUUUGUAGAAAAUCAAUUAAAUGCAAAAGUUAAAACACUAACAUGUGAUAAUGGCAAAGAAUAUGUUAAUGAGGCAUUUGAUAUUUUUUGUAGAAAUUCAGGUAUUAAACGUCAGUUGACAAUACCCUAUACUCCUGAACAGAACGGUAUGAGCGAGAGGAUGAAUCGAACAUUAGUAGAACGUUCUAAGUUUAUGCUUAUGAAUUCCAGCUUAUCUAAGAUGUUUUGGGUCGAGGCGGUAGUUACAGCUGCAUAUAUAAUCAACAGAAGUCCUACAAAGUCCUUACAGUUUAAAACGCCUGAAUGUUGGGAGGAAUGAAUGGGUUGGGAAGAUGCCAUGACUGGAGAUGAGGGAGUAGAUGGAAUAUUCUCUAUCUCCCUUGGAACUUCAAAGAUUUCCUGACAUGAAAGUAGAAAAAUUAGCUUAAUCAUGCAUUUUAGCCAAAAGACAAAACAUGCCACAUUAAAUGGAAUUAAACAAUACACACGUAUAGGCCUAUUUUCGUCUCUUCAGGCCCAAUGCCUGUGGAGGCCUCUUGUCCUAUAAUGGACAGCACCUUGUUUGUAAUGUCCGACACUACUGGGACAGUAAUACAGUUCCCAGUAGUGUGCCUCGCUCGAGACGAGGCUGCAUUUUCAGAACGCGAGUUCUUCUUAAUGUCCUUCCAUGUCAAAGUAACAUUGUUACUAUGAAUAGUACUAGGAUUUUAUUGAAUAGUAAUAGCAAGAGAAUUUAGGUGCUGUAGACUUCUGUGGUGUAGACGUAGACGAGGUUUAUGGAACUGUAGACUUUAGGUUUUUCUCUGCCCGUAGCUUUUUGCGACAUUCUUCCGUCCUGUGUCCUAACAACCUACAGAAAUUGCAACACUCUUUUAUCUUCUUCUGAUCUCUUGCUAUACUCGUAUCAUUAUCAUUGUUGAGUUCCUCCACUGUUCUCGCUUUGUCUACUUCGCUGUUCGCUGUCGCUUUCGCAAGAAGGAAAUUUUCAAAACAGGAGGAGGUGGACCCCAACCACCACCACCACCUCCAACUAGUGUGAUUGUGGAGGCAAUAUUGGGUCGAGUAAUGGAAGUAUUGCCUAAUAGUUAUGAUAGUGAUGCCCUGGAUUGUAAUGAUAUAAGCACAAUUGAAAUAAAUGAGGCUACAAAUAGUCAGUAGGCUACUUCUAGUGUCGAAAGCAACAUUAUAAUCAGCAUGCCAGAGCAUGAAAAGGUAUAUAAUUAAUUAAUCAUAAUAUAUGUAGAGAGUUGUAUUGUAACAUGCUUUUCACUGUUUUAUAACUUAAUGAUG
rnacentral:misc_RNA from 1 species